CUGACUUUAAGAUAAGGUGAUUAUCCUGUGUUAUCCAGGUGGUCCAUUGUAAUCACCAGGGUUCCUUAAACUCAGAAGAGGAAGAAAAGUCAGAGUCAGAGUGAGGUGACGUGACCAAGACUCCACAACUACUGCUGGUUUUGAUGACGGAAGAGCACUGUGAGCUAAGGAACGCAGGCAACUUCAAGAAGCUGGAGAAGGCAAGAAAAUGAUUCUCCCUUAGAGCAUCCAGAAAGAAACACAGCUUUACGAACACCCUGACUUUAGCCCUGGUAGACUCCUCAUCAACUUCUGACCUCCAGAACUGAAACACCUGUCUAAAGAACAACGUAGAGCUCAUCAUACAGAAGUGAGCCAGCUAUCUCUGCCAGACGGAAUAGAGUUCUAGCAUCUGUGUCUUCAGGCCAAAUGAUGUAUGAUCCAGUUUGAUUUAAUUUACUUAUCAUUCACAUUGGAGGGAAUUCAGAAUACGAAGACAGAUAGAACAGGCCCUGAGUAAAGAAAGGAAGAUGCAGAGUGCCCUGCGAAGAACUUGUCACCAGACAGCAAAGGUUGUGUCUCAAGCUUCAGUGCAAGUGUGGCCAGUAUGGGUCCCAAAAAGUCAAGAUGGCUCCUGACAGCAGUAAUCAGAGUUUCGCUUUAUCACCCAGGCUGGAGUGCAGUGGUGCGAUCUUGGUCUCUAACCUCCACUGCCCAGGUUCCAUUGAUUCUCCCCACUCAGUUUCCCGAGUCGCUGGGACUACAGGCAUCUGCCACCAUGUCCAGCUGGUCUCGAGCUCCUG